rnacentral:rRNA from 1 species
GACGAACGCUGGCGGCGUGCUUAACACAUGCAAGUCGAACGGAAAGGCCCUGCUUUUGUGGGGUGCUCGAGUGGCGAACGGGUGAGUAACACGUGAGUAACCUGCCCUUGACUUUGGGAUAACUUCAGGAAACUGGGGCUAAUACCGGAUAGGAGCUCCUGCUGCAUGGUGGGGGUUGGAAAGUUUCGGCGGUUGGGGAUGGACUCGCGGCUUAUCAGCUUGUUGGUGGGGUAGUGGCUUACCAAGGCUUUGACGGGUAGCCGGCCUGGGAGGGUGACCGGCCACAGUGGGACUGGGGAACGGCCCGGACUCCUACGGGAGGCAGCGGCGGGAACUAGUGCACACUGGGCGGAGGCCUGAUGGAGCAUCGCCGCGUGCGGGAUGACGGCUUUCGGGUUGGAAACCGCUUUCGCCUGUGACGAAGCGUGAGUAACGGUAAUGGGUAAAGAAGCACCGGCUAACUACGU